ACCAGACUCCUACGGGAGGCAGCAGUGGGGAGUAUUGCACAAUGGGGGAAACCCUGAUGCAGCGACGCCGCGUGAGCGAUGAAGUAUUUCGGUAUGUAAAGCUCUAUCAGCAGGGAAGAAAAUGACGGUACCUGGCGAAGAAGCCCCGGCUAACUACGUGCCAGCAGCCGCGGUAAUACGUGGGGGGCAAGCGUUAUCCGGAUUCACUGGGUGUAAAGGGAGCGCAGGCGGUACGGCGAGUCUGAUGUGAAAACCCGGGGCCCAACCCCGGGACCGCACCGGAUACUGCCGGACUCGAGUGCCGGAGGGGCAGGCGGAAUUCCUGGUGUAGCGGUGAAAUGCGCAGAUAUCAGGAGGAACACCGGUGGCGAAGGCGGCCUGCUGGACUGCAACUGACGUUGAGGCCCGAAAGCGUGGGGAGCAAACAGGAUUAGAUACCCUCGUAC
rnacentral:rRNA from 1 species